rnacentral:lncRNA from 1 species
GUAAUUCAUCAACAGUCCGUUUUCUUGUUCGACGUCUAAAAUAGCAGUGCAAGUGAGAACAUUUUCUAUGUCCAAAUUUGUCAACUCUUUCGUGCACUUUGGGGUGGCAUGGCUUCAGCCUCUGAGAAAACAGUUGAAUAACUUGACUUUAGACUACGUGAUGAUGAGAGGCGUGAUUUAACUACAUAAAGUCAAAAAUACUGCUCAUACUUGUGAUUGUGAUAAACAAAGAAAGCAAAUUUGAAAUUUCGUGUCAAACUGUCAAGGGAUUCUGUUUAACAUCACGUCGACACUUAGCUGUCAUCUGUCAAUUUGGCUACAAUCUCGGAUCGGUUAACCAUAGGAUCGGAUCUUUUUUCUACAUUCUUCUAUUACUCAAUAUUAUAAGUCCAGGUCAAAUUCGUAUGUGUGAAGUUAAUCUGUACACAUGAAGUCAUUACAGGAAAAUACGACCGUCAAAGAAGAUUAACAUAAUAAUUUGUUACUGUUAGCACUGUUAGUAUUCAAAGAUGUAUUAAUCAGGUGUUCAGUUCAACAACAUCACUAUGGAGGAGACUCCUCAUAUUCUCGUUAGCUGGUCCUGCAGUUAUCAGGUACAAGCUAGUGACAAUUUGCCUGGUAUUAAAAGGGAUUGAGUCUUUGUCAGAGGGCAUCGUUUGCCACCAGUCAAUGUUGAACAAAUUGGCCGGUAGCUGGGAAUUCAUUCAUAACUUUGAAAUUUGACAAGCAGGCUGUUUCUAUCUUCGACUAAGCUAAAAGAAGUCAUUGUAUCAUCAGCCCUUACUGAUGAAAUUCUUUUGAAUCCCACAAUAACUAUGACCACCAUCUAGCCUUUCCAGUCAAUGAGCUUCGAAAAUUAGCAAGCUGUCUGAAAAAAGGGGGAAAACGACUAGGGCUCAAGACUUGUUCUCUGAUGUGAUCCCCAUUAGUACUGACACCAAACUCCCUGCUUUGUUGAUCAAACAAUUGGUUCUGAGUGGAAAACUCACUGAGAUGGAAGCACAUUUAUGAUUCUUGUCCUACCCUACCAUCUGAGCAACUGUUCACCUCACGGGAGAAUCUCUUGAAAGAGAGCCUCAACAUAAAGAUCAAGGAACCGAUACCAUCAACAAGUACAUCAUAGCAUCAUAGCAUGUCGUGCAAGUCGUCAAAGAUCCACACUGCGUACUCCAACUUGAUGCCUGCUUCACUCUACGUAACACCAACUUGAUCCCUGCCAUUGAGCAAUAUGAGCAUCUUAUGGAAAUACGCAUCUUGAGCAUCUCACGUCAAAAGCGGCUCCGUUCUUCACGCUGUCAACCUCACGUAAUCUUUGCUCUGCAGGCUGCAGCCCAUCGUCACCGUUAACCGCAACAAUUUCUUGCCUGCUAUUCUCUCCCUGAUUCUGAAUGCCACCGAGAUCCGUGUAACCGCUUUCGUUCACCUUGUUCUGCCGGUCUGCGUUCAUCCCACUUUCCUCGAGCUGUUAUCUUUCCCCGUGUCUGUUAUUUGUUUAUAAAAAUACAAUCAUUUGCUAACAAA